rnacentral:rRNA from 1 species
UGAAGCCGGAAUUGCUAGUAAUGGCAGGUCAGCAUACUGCCGUGAAUACGUUCCCGGGCCUUGUACACACCGCCCGUCACACCAUGAGAGUUGGAGAUACCCGAAGCCUAUGAGCUAACUUUUAGAGGCAGUAGUCGAAGGUAGAAUCAAUGAUUGGGGUGAAGUCGUAACAAGGUAAC